AUUGAACGCUGGCGGCAUGCUUUACACAUGCAAGUCGAACGGUAACAGGUCAAGCUGACGAGUGGCGAACGGGUGAGUAAUGCAUCGGAACGUGCCCGGUCGUGGGGGAUAACACUUCGAAAGAAGUGCUAAUACCGCAUACGAUCUGAGGAUGAAAGCGGGGGACCGUAAGGCCUCGCGCGAUCGGAGCGGCCGAUGUCAGAUUAGGUAGUUGGUGGGGUAAAGGCUCACCAAGCCGACGAUCUGUAGCUGGUUUGAGAGGACGACCAGCCACACUGGGAACGAGACACGGCCCAGACUCCUACGGGAGGCAGCAGUGGGGAAUUUUGGACAAUGGGCGCAAGCCUGAUCCAGCAAUGCCGCGUGCAGGAAGAAGGCCUUCGGGUUGUAAACUGCUUUUGUACGGAGCGAAAAGGCUCUCUCUAAUACAGGGGGCUCAUGACGGUACCGUAAGAAUAAGCACCGGCUAACUACGUGCCAGCCGCCGCCGUAAAAC
rnacentral:rRNA from 1 species